rnacentral:rRNA from 1 species
UACGUAGGGGGCAAGCGUUGUCCGGAAUUAUUGGGCGUAAAGAGCGUGUAGGCGGCCAGAUAAGUCCGCUGUGAAAUCUCGAGGCUCAACUUCGAGCUGUCGGUGGAAACUAUCUGGCUAGAGUCCGGAAGAGGAGAAUGGAAUUCCUGGUGUAGCGGUGAAAUGCGCAGAUAUCAGGAAGAACACCCGUGGCGAAGGCGGCUCUCUGGGACGGUACUGACGCUGAGACGCGAAAGCGUGGGGAGCGAACAGG